AUUCCAAAACGGCAAGCGACAUAUCCAGCAGCUGCAUCCGACUACUUGCCUUGCAAGUUUUGCUUUGCUAUGUAUGUCAAAUCAGAUCUCUGGAGACAUCAUAAGCGCUACAAACUUCGCUCAAAAGAAGGCAUUGCCACAAGAAAGGUUCAGGCAAGUUCUUCCAUGUUGCUGCUCACGGACACUGUGAUUUCCACUGGACUUCAGACGGUUCUCCAGGAAAUGAACUAUGACAAUGUAACUCAAUUAGUAAAGGCUGACUCCCUUAUUAUUUCACUGGGUGAGAGAAUGUUCCUCAAAAAUGGAGAAGUUGGACGGCAUCGAGCAGACAUCAGAAAUAAGAUGAGGGAACUUGCCAGACUUGUUCUGACAGCAAGAAAUAUUGACAAAGACAUUGUCUUUUUGAAGGACUUGAUCUGUCCAGGAAAAUUCAACACAGUCAUCGAGGCUGUAAAACAGAUGACUGGCUUUAAUGCAGCUUCCAACAGGUUCACAGUGCCCUCAACUGCACUGAAACUGAGGCAUUCUCUUGUGAAAGUGUCAUGUAUUUUGCAAGGAGAGGCGCUGCGUCAAGAGAAUCCUGAUUUAAGAACAAAGCACAGCAAUUUAACGAGUUAAUUUCAAUGGAAUGGUCAACACUUGUGUCAUCUAAUGCCCUGAAAACACUGUAUCAGAAGAAAUGGAAUAUGCCACAAAUACUGCCUUUGUCAGAAGACAUCAAAAAGCUCCACGACCAUCUGAGAAACCUUGAGAUAGUCCACAAAAGAAAUCUCAAUGAUCAGCCAACACAACAUUCAUGGAGUCAACUCUCUCAAGUCACUCUGACACAGCUCAUACUGUUCAAUCGCCGUCGUGCAGGAGAAGUCUCAAGAAUGGAACUCAAGACAUAUUUAGAAAAGGAGCACACACAGCAUGCACGAUGAAGUUUUGGAGAGCCUUUCAGCAUUUGAAAAAAAACUUUGUGAGAAUCUCACCAGAUAGAGAUACGGGGAAAAAGGGGCCGCAAAGUGCCUGUGCUGUUCACAAAAAAUAUAAAAGAGUCUGUGGAUCUUCUGAUUAAAACGAGAAGAGGCUGGAAUCUCCUCCACCAAUCCCUACAUUUUUGCUCGUCUAUUUUUCGGAUCCCAAGAGAGCAUUCGUGGAUGUGACUGCUUAAAAAGGUUUUGCAGAAAGCUCUGGAGCUCAACAACCACAGAAUCUCACCUCAACCAAACUACGGAAGCAUGUAGCUACAGUUUCACAACUCUUAAACCUACAAAACAAUGACUAGACCAGCUGGCAACGUUCAUGGGCCAUGACUUGGACACAACAAGGAAUAUUACAGACUGCCUGAAGAAACACUCCAACUGGCAAAAAUCAGCAACUUCUUCUUGCUCUCCAAGGUGGGAUGAGCAAAUUUAAAGGGAAAUCCCUAGAAGAGAUUACACCAGACAUCAACUCUGGAGACUCCAGUGACUCAGAUGCAGACGUCCAAAACUGAGGAGCGGUUAACAACAGUCAAAAAGAAACUUCCAAGGUUGAUCACUGCAAAGUGAGACCAUCAUCCAAAGCGACUGAGGGCAGUAAAAGGGCAUCAUGUCCAUCAAGUCCAAAAGG